UACGGGGGGGGCAAGCGUUGUUCGGAAUUACUGGGCGUAAAGGGCUCGUAGGCGGCCAACUAAGUCGGAUGUGAAAUCCCCAGGCUUAACCUGGGAACUGCAUCCGAUACUGGAUGGCUUGAAUCCGGGAGAGGGAUGCAGAAUUCCAGGUGUAGCGGUGAAAUGCGUAGAGAUGUGGAGGAACACCAGUGGCGAAGGCGACUCUUUGGCCUGUAACUGACGCUGAGGCGCGAAAGCGUGGGGAGCAAACAGG
rnacentral:rRNA from 1 species